UCUCUACUCGAUGCGUGGUAUCAGUUUUCAAUAUAUUGAUGGCUUAUCUGUUAUUUACAGUGCUAUAUCUGUUCUCCUUGCAUGCAAUUGUGACUCUUAUUCAUCACUAUUCUAUUUAUCUGUCACUGAACCUUUUACUUUAAAUGCUGGUAAUUAAUUUUAGCUUUGAUUUGCUUAGCGACCUAACUUUCACUGUAGAAACUACUAAACGAAUGCUAGGAACUUUCUGAGAAGUUUUUGGAUAUUUGAUUGGCUUGCUAGACAAGCAGGUUGUCUCAUCCUUGGAGGCACAAUCAUCACUACACCACACACCUGCAACUUUUUUAUUUAUUAUGUUUUUCAUCUGGAAGAAAAGCCAAUUACACAAUAAUACUGGUAGGCAAACUAAUAAAUGACUGUAUAUAAGCCUAAUCUACAUGAAAGAGUGCAUAUACAACCUUCAAAUAUGACAAAUUUGAUAAGGCUGACCUAGUACUUUGUCGAAACAUUUUUAUGCACAAGCCUAAUUUGCAAAAGAAUGCAUGACAGAUGUUCGUGAACAAUUCAAUUUAGCCAGUCUCAAUCUCCGGCCUCGUUAACCUGUCCUCAAAGCCUUCAUAUACUGGUUUACUUGCUUCAUAUCUUCCUGUGCACUUCUUCGGAUAUCAUUCAUCUGAUUCCGGUCUUUAUUAUUGGUACAAUGUUGCGGUGGAGGGUAAACAUGAGCCACUUAAAAAGAACCUAACUGCAGAACCUCAAUCUCUCGGUAUUAUUACUGGGAAGAGGAAUGAAUGCCGCCAGUCAUUAUAAGGAUGUUUCUCUGUCAUUGUUCGUGAUCUUUCUUACAACAAUUUUACAUGGGGAAGCCCUCUGCCACCUGAUUGUCAACGAGAAAGAACGAACUUGUUUGGAAGCUCUUCUACAGGGAACAGCAU